ACGGGAGGCAGCAGUGGGGAAUUUUGGGCAAUGGGCGAAAGCCUGACCCAGCGACGCCGCGUGAAGGAAGAAGGUCUUCGGAUUGUAAACUUCUGUCAACAGGGACGAAACAAAUGACGGUACCUGUGGAGGAAGCCACGGCUAACUACGUGCCAGCAGCCGCGGUAAUACGUAGGUGGCGAGCGUUAUCCGGAUUUACUGGGUGUAAAGGGUGUGUAGGCGGGGAAGCAAGUCAGAUGUGAAAACUAUGGGCUUAACCCAUAAAGUGCAUUUGAAACUGUUUCUCUUGAGGAUCGGAGGGGUAAAUAGAAUUCCCGGUGUAGCGGCGAAAUGCGUAGAUAUAAGGAAGAACACCAGUGGCGAAGGCGAUCUACUGGACAGUAACUGACGCUGAGGCGCGAAAGCGUGGGGAGCAAACAGGAUUAGAUACCCUGGUA
rnacentral:rRNA from 1 species